rnacentral:misc_RNA from 1 species
GAUGAAGAACGCAGUGAAAUGCGAUAAGUAAUGCGAAUUGCAGAUUUCAGUGAGUCAUCGAAUCUUUGAACGCACAUUGCGCCCGCCAGUAUUCUGGCGGGCAUGCCUGUUCGAGCGUCAUUUCAACCAUCAAGCCCCCGGGCUUGCGUUGGGGCCCUGCGGCUCCCGCAGGCCCCGAAAAGCAGUGGCGGGCUCGCUGUCACACCGAGCGCAGUAGCGAUUCUCGCUCCGGGCGUCGGCGGCGGGCACCGGCCGUGAAACCCCCCCACAUCCACAAGGUUGACCUCGGAUCAGGUAGGAAUACCCGCUGAACUUAAGCAUAUCAAUAAGCGGAGGA